GUUUUGGCUGGCUGGUCCGCCUCACCGCAUGUACUGGUCUGGCCGAAACUUUCCUCCUGGGGAACCGCAUGCCCUUUACUGGGUGUGUUGGGAAACUAGGACUUUUACUUUGAAAAAAUUAGAGUGUUCAAAGCAGGCAAUUGCUCGGAUACAUUAGCAUGGAAUAAUAGAAUAGGACGC
rnacentral:rRNA from 1 species